AUUGAACGCUGGCGGCAGGCUUAACACAUGCAGGUCGAGCGGAGAUGAGGUGCUUGCACCUUAUCUUAGCGGCGGACGGGUGAGUAAUGCUUAGGAAUCUGCCUAUUAGUGGUGGACAACAUUCCGAAAGGAAUGCUAAUACCGCAUACGUCCUACGGGAGAAAGCAGGGGAUCUGCGGACCUUGCGCUACUAGAUGAGCCUAAGUCGGAUUAGCUAGUUGGUGGGGUAAAGGCCUACCAAGGCGACGAUCUGUAGCGGGGCUGAGAGGAUGAUCCGCCACACUGGGACUGAGACACGGCCCAGACUACUACGGGAGGCAGCAGUGGGGAAUAUUGGACAAUGGGGGAAACCCUGAUCCAGCCAUGCCGCGUGUGUGAAGAAGGCCUUAUGGUUGUAAAGCACUUUAAGCGAGGAGGAGGCUACUGAGACUAAUACUCUUGGAUAGUGGACGUUACUCGCAGAAUAAGCACCGGCUAACUCUGUGCCAGCCGCCGCGGUAAGAC
rnacentral:rRNA from 1 species